UACAUAUCAUUUCAGAACAAUGGCCGUCCUCUUUCUUCUCUCCUUUUCUUUUCUCAGUUGUUUGAUUACAUCCCAAGUAAUAUAUGAUAACAAACUGUUGUUUUGUUAUCUGUUUCUCUUUGGUUCCUUCCUUUCCUUUUCCUAUUUGGAACUAUAUCCUUGAGAUUCACUUAUGGUGUCAGAACGUAAAUUGAACAUAAUUUUUUUUUUCCUCAUUCUUUAAAAGAUUUUCUCAUGCCCAUUUAUGUCCCAAACUUUCAUUGAAGGUUCCUAAUCUUUGCAUCAAUGGUUUCAUAUUCUAAGGAUUCGCCUCCAACAACCCAGGCCUUCAUGCCACCCCUGAUGAAGCUUACUUUUACAACAAACUGACCCUAAAGUCAGUCUUUGAAUUCUACUCCAAAGUGCUACGAAUAUCAGAAAGAGGGGGAGCAGAUGGGUCGGAAAUUCUACCGCGAGAUAUUUUUCAGUGGCAAUGAAAGGGAGGAGAAAUGAAAUUGGGUAUGGUUACUAUUUUUGAGUUGGAAAACAAAGAGCUUGAUGGGUUGAGCUGUU